CGUACCAGUUUACUCGAAAAAAUGUUAAAACUGGACCCAAAUAAACGUCCAUCGGCCACACAAUGCCUGCAAGACGCUUAUUUUAGCAACGCGCCUGCGCCAACGCCCCCCCAAUACUUGCCAGGAACGAAUGAAACAAUGAACGAUGAAUUUUUAGAGAAAAGUUAUAAACAACUUUUAUAUGAAGGCAAUGAAUUAAAGAAAGAAGCAAACGUAGAUAUGAAACGCUUCAAAGAAAGUUUAUGAA